rnacentral:rRNA from 1 species
AGCGUAUAUUAAAGUUGUUGCAGUUAAAAAGCUCGUAGUUGAAUUUCGGGAUCUGUCGAUUGGUCGGGCUUCACUGUCCGCACUGACCUGAUGGAUUCCUACCUUCUGAAUAACCAGCAUGCCAUUAAGUUAGUGCGUUGGGGAAGCAGAGCUAUUACCUUGAAAAAAUUAGAGUGCUUAAAGCAGGCUUGUGCUUGAAUAGAUUAGCAUGGAAUAAUAAAAUAGGACGGCAUGGUUCUAUUUUGUUGGUUUCUAGGAUCACCGUAAUGAUUAAUAGGGAUAGUUGGGGGCAUUAGUAUUCAAUUGUCAGAGGUGAAAUUCUUGGAUUUAUUGAAGACUAACUUCUGCGAAAGCAUUUGCCAAGGAUGUUUUCAUUAAUCAAGAACGAAAGUUAGGGGAUCGAAGACGAUCAGAUACCGUCGUAGUCUUAACCAUAAACUAUGCCGACUAGGGAUCGGACGAUGUUAAUUUUUUAAUUACUCGUUC